UUUCUUCGGAGAGUUUGAUCCUGGCUCAGGAUGAACGCUGGCGGCGUGCCUAAUACAUGCAAGUCGAGCGAACUGAUUAGAAGCUUGCUUCUAUGACGUUAGCGGCGGACGGGUGAGUAACACGUGGGCAACCUGCCUGUAAGACUGGGAUAACUUCGGGAAACCGAAGCUAAUACCGGAUAGGAUCUUCUCCUUCAUGGGAGAUGAUUGAAAGAUGGUUUCGGCUAUCACUUA
rnacentral:rRNA from 1 species